UUAGAUGGUCUAUGGCAGGGUUCUCUAAACUAUGCUGCUAGAGGAGACCAUCCUACAGAUUUCAGCUCCAACCCCAAUCAGGCACACUUGAACCAGGUAAUCAAGGUGUUCAGGGCUACUUGUGAAAUGCAUGCAGGCGUAUUGGAGAAAGGUUGGAAGUCAAGUCUGCAGAAAGAUAGCUUUCCAGGAGGAGGGUUGGAGAUCCCUGGUUCAUGGCCAAUGAAGGACUAAAAUCCCAGCAUUCUGCUUUUCAACUGCAGUGGUGCACCAGGAGUGGUACCCGGUGAGGUCUCCUGCUAUAGCCCUUUGGCUUCAAGGUUUGAUAUGUUACGCAUUCAGAGAUGCUCUUCUGCAUACACGGGUUGUAACAAGUGGCUGUUGGAGUUACUGUUGCCUUUCUGUCAGUUCAGUAACCAUUUUCCUCUGACCUCUGCCAUCAACAAGGUAUUUUCGCCCACAGAACUGCCACUCACUGGAUAUUUUCUCAUUUUCAGACCAUUCUCUGUAAAACAUAGAGAUGAAGGAAAAACUUUUUAAAUGUUAAGUACAUUGUUGGCAUGUAAGCAUCCAUUGAACAAAAGCUUUGGGUUACAUAAACUUGAAUCUGUAUCGUGAUGGCCUUAUAUUUAA